CGUACACUGGCGGUAUUUUGAGAUGUAAGUACAUUUAAAGUCAUAUUCAGUGAAGAAUUAAAUGCAUUGUUAAGCGAUAGCAAAGUAAGUGUUGUAUCACAGUAUUAAGCAAAUGAAUAUUUCUUGCUUCAUGCAUAAUGUACAACGUCAACGCAAAGGUAUUGCAAAUUUACUUUAAAUCAUAUGUUUAUGAAAGAACAAAACAUAAUUUUCCUAUUUGUAAUGUUUCUUAUUGGUACCAGUCAAUCUUAUUUUACAGUUAAACUGGCAUACUUUUGUUAGGUAUCAUACAAUAAAAUAUAUGUAGAACAAGCACUGCCUAAAAACAACAGAAUGAAACCAAUUAAAGCAGUCAUAUUGCUUUAUUUGAUCUUGUAUACACAUUAAUAUAACAUAAUUAAGAGUGAUUUGCUUUCAAUAAAUUCUGAUAAUGUUAAGAAAUCUUGGAAUCAAAAUAUAAGGACAUUUAAAUGCGAGUAAUGCUAAUUAAACUUUCAACAACAACAACAAACCAAAAAGAAGACGUACGGUAAUCUAGGACAGACACAUAGUUCUGCUACCGUUUCCGAAACCAUAUUGAAGACAAAGAAGUAUUCAAUAGUAUGCAUGCAUGUACAAAAAGAUUUGUUUGUUUGUUGUAGAGAGAGAAAAAAAGAAGAAUGAAGGUUUCUAUUUGUCUAUUCAUCUGUCUGUUGUUCGUGUCCGUGGGAGGUAAGAAAACUUAAGAACCUCUUUUCAAUUUAAAAUCUGAUUAUUAAUAGCUACUGUGGUUUAUUCUCUUUUGGAUAGAUCUUUAUCAACAGUAAAAUACCGAAUGCUUGCAAACGAAAUUAGUGAAAUUAUUCCUUUUUUUGUUAUAAACUUGCUGUAUUGACACGUUUAUGUCUUUUUUUGUAAUCACCGUUGAACUUUAAAAAGGGUCAAUACCGUUUGUUCCGACUACUGAUAUGCAAGCAUAAUUAUCAAUUUUAAGUUUUCGUCGGUUUAAAAAAAAAAAUCAAUUGGAGAUGAAGGAUUAUAUGUAACUGAGACAGCUUCCAAACCAAACAAUAGAACAAGAUAAACAGGCAGUAUUUAUAUGCUAAUUUUAAUUCUGUUAAAUUAAAUCUUAAAUCUUUCAAAAUAAUCACAAGUUAAGGCUAAAUGGUUUGUAUGGGAUUUUUUUUAAAUCUUCUUGUAUGUACCCUUUUCAAGUCCACUGAUCACAAAUACAAUUGAGUUAGUAGAGACAUCAAACGGGAAGUUUAACCCCGCAAUAUUGCCAUGUGGCUGUCCCUAGAUCUUUCCAGCGGUUGUCAACAUUGACCUUUGUUUUGUUUUUGUUUUUUUGGAGAAUUCAUUUUUGAAUCUAGGUCUGUGUUGUUUCCUUUAUAUUCCAAACAAAUGUAUUCACAUCUUUAUACACUACAGGCAAUUUUGAUCUGCACAAGACAUCUAUCUAUUGUUGGAGACUUAUGCUGAACUCUAAAUAAAAUUGAGAAUGGAAAUGGGGAAUGUGUCAAAGAGACAACAACCCGCCCAAAUAAAAAACAACAGCAGAGGGUCACCAACAGGUCUUCAAUGUAGCGAGAAUUCCCGCACCCGAGGCGUCCUUCAGCUGGCCUAAAAAAUAUAUACUAGUCAGUGAUAAUGAACGCCAUACUAAUUUCCAAAUUGUACACAAGAAACUAAAAUUAAAAUAACACAAGACUAACAAAGGCAGAGGCUCCUGACUUGGGCAGGCGCAAAAAUGCGGCGGGGUUAAACAUGUUUGUGAGAUCUCAACCCUCCCCCUAUACCUCUAACCAAUGUAGUAAAGUAAACGCAUAACAAUACGCAAAUUAAAAUUCAGUUCAAGAGAAAUCGAGUCUGAUGUCAGAAGAUGUAACCAAAGAAAAUAAACAAAAUGACAAUAAUACAUAAAUAACAACAGACUACUAGCAGUUAACUGACAUGCCAGCUCCAGACUUCAACUAAACUGACUGAAAGAUUAUGAUUUCAUCAUAUGAACAUCAGGCACAAUCCUUCCCGUUAGGGGUUUAGUAUCAUACCAUCUAAAGUUCAUUCUUGCUCUUUUGCAUUGGGUUAAUUUACUAUUUGCCUAUUACCAACAUCUCCUACAUAUGUACUUUUACAUCCUCGGCUUUUAAAUAUUUGGCUUUGGGCGUUCCUGAUUAAGGUUAAUCCACAAAAGCGCUUCGUAUGCAUGAAAUUAUUAAACGUGUUGUUUUCAAUUUUGUUCUGCUAGAUCAAGAGAGCCAGCAAACAAUUAUGAAUAACAAACGAUCAAAAAAAGAGAAAUAAUUGUUCAUUUUGAAUUACUGUUACAACUGUUUAGGAGUGUGUGUGUUUGUGUGCAUGAGCUGGAAUGGGACUGCUAUAGUAUGGUUUUAUAUCAACAACCAAAAAUAGAGCAAAUUGAAAUUAGUUUUUAAUACUUGGUAAAUACCGCUACUGGUGGUCUGACAAAAUGUCUUAUAGUCUCUGCGGGUAGUAUAAUCUCAGUAAUUAGUGCUUCAGUACGUAUAUGCUUUAUAACAUAUCUUUCUGUAGUUUCUGCUUGGUCGAUUUUGAAAUUUGAAAAAAAUAAGGUUCAAACAUCCUUAACAAAGUUGAUCCCGUGUUGGUUACAUAGCUCCUUAAGUAUUCACGUGAUGUUUUUUUACAUCUAUGACAUUAAUUUGUUUUAGGUUUGGCCGUUCAUAAUGACAGUUCACCAUGAACGCAUUUUCUCAUGUUAUAUGUCCUACCCAUGAAAGUUUAUUUUGUAAUCUUAUCUUUACAGGGGAAUGUCUAUUCAGUUUCGACAUUUACUUGGUGUAUAACAAAAUAUAUAUAACCCGUUUCGUUAUUUAAUACAACUAUACUUUAUUUCCAGUUAACAUGGCACAUGAAGAAAUGCUUGAAGAAAAUGGCUUUAUGCAUGAGUAAGUUGAGUUGUAUGGUUUGUUUACAUUUUGAGUACAUCGAGUUUAAAUCUUAGUUGAGUCUCUUAAUGGUUGAUUUUGAUUUAGUCAGUUUGAAUACAGUUUAUUUCAUUAGAAAUAAUUGAAUAUCAAAUGGACAUGGACAUUGAAAAAAAAUCUGCACCGUAACAAACUUAUUUUCUAGUCAUAUUAAUUGUAUUGUAGAUUAUAUAAUCUUUCUUAACAAUGCAAAAGACGUGCUCAAUAGAUAACUUUAUAUGACAAUAUAUUUAAGGCGAUAAGAUUCAGAAAUUCAACGCUGAAAUAUUGUAGGAAUAUUCCUUGUACCGUAUAAUGAAUUUCUUGACUCGAAGGUGGCCAGUGACCAUACAAACAAAAACUUGAAGUACACCACAAUGGUAACGAAAAGACAAAAGGACAAACAACAGUCUUAAAAAAUAUACUUUUAGCAAUACAAACCCCCCUAAAACUGGAUAUGAACUCAUGUACUUCGGAUGUGUACAAAGUUCAUAGUUCGAUAGGCGCUCCUUAUGUGUAUAAUUGUAAUGAAAAGUUGUUUGUGCCAAUAAGACAGCCCAAAAUAAAUUCAAGAAAAGAUCAAAACAAGAGACAAGCUCUUUAUUGAAAAAAGUGGUGGAUAAAAUCAAUCGAGGAGAUUAAACAUCUGCUAACAAGAUACAAUUUCACUCAAAACAAACACUCAUCAAUGAAGAACAAAAUGAACAAAUAAAGAAGAUUUCCUUAAUUGACUCUUUGCGUGAACAGGGAGUGAAAUUUUAUUAGUUUCUUAACAAUCUACCACUUUAAAAGCUUUAUAGCAUUUUGAUAUGAGCGAUUCUUAGGAUGGAAAAUCAAGAAAAGCGAGUUUGACGCUUUAAAUUUACUAAAUAUUAUUUUCAUUUUUAAAGCACUAGUUCCAAUACCGCUGCUGGUUGACUAUUAGAUCCCGACGAUUUCAUAAACUCAGUAGUACAGAUUUUUGUUAUGAUAUGAUUUAGUUUUUUGGAAAUUGUUCGUUCAAAUAUACAGAAAUUAUCCAGAAACUACGUUUGCAACUCCCUUCUGGAAUGUAGACGGUUUGAUUUUAUCUGUCUUUUCAUCAUACAGCUAUUCAUUUAUUUUGGGUUGCAUACCUUAUUGGCUUUCAAAUUUGGAGAUUUUAGGCAAAAAAUUGAUUUCCGCGUUCCUGAACUACAACUAAAUGAUAUUUACCUUUAACAGAAUGUAAACUCUGGAAAAUUUAUAUUUGUUCGAAUUCAGUAGAAAAAAAUGCAAUCAGUACUUUUACAUUACACAUUCCUGUAACAAACGAUGCUAUAUAGAUUCAUAGAUUCUCAAGUUAUAUCCACAGUUAUACACUGAUAUCACCAAUAAACGAAAUAUGUGAUUGUAGAUAUUUUUCGAAUGAAAUGAAAAUGAAAAAAUGUAUUCUUCUGAUUUAAUGUUUUGUUUUAGGCUUGUAAAAAGAAGUGUAUGUUCUGGAAAACCAUGCCAUACCAACCGUCAUUGCUGUAAGGGUUGGAUGUGCUAUGGCAGAAAAUGCAAACGCUAUGGUGGCUAAUGAGUUCGGCUAUCAAUUGUUUACAGGUCCUAGCAAUCCUAACAGAACCAAGAAAUUAUUAUCUUUUUAACUAUAGGACUUGUAAAAAUGAAUUCUAGAUGAAAUAAGAUAAAAAUCUGUAAUUUU
rnacentral:lncRNA from 1 species